GACGAACGCUGGCGGCGUGCUUAACACAUGCAAGUCGAACGGAAAGGCCCUGCUUUUGUGGGGUGCUCGAGUGGCGAACGGGUGAGUAACACGUGCGUAACCUGCCCUUGACUUUGGGAUAACUUCAGGAAACUGAGGCUAAUACCUGAUAGGAGCUCCUGCUGCAUGGUGGGGGUUGGAAAGUUUCGGCGGGUGGGGAUGGACUCGCGGCUUAUCAGCUUGUUGGUUGGUUAGUGGCUUACCAAGGCUUUGACGGGUAGCCGGCAUGAGAGGGUGACCGGCCACAAUGGGCCUGAGAUACGGCCCAGACGGCUACGGGAGGCAGCAGGGGGGAAUAUUGCACAAUGGGCGGAAGUCUGAUGCAGAAACGCCGCGUGCGGGAUGACGGCCUUCGGGUUGUAAAACGCUGUCGCCUGUGACGAAGCGUGAGUGACGGUAAUGGGUAAAGAAGCACCGGCUAACUACGUG
rnacentral:rRNA from 1 species